CCGGCGCACGGUGAGUAACGCGUAUGCAACUUACCUAUCAGAGGGGAUAACCCGGCGAAAGUCGGACUAAUACCGCAUGAAGCAGGGAUCCCGCAUGGGAAUAUUUGCUAAAGAUUCAUCGCUGAUAGAUAGGCAUGCGUUCCAUUAGGCAGUUGGCGGGGUAACGGCCCACCAAACCGACGAUGGAUAGGGGUUCUGAGAGGAAGGUCCCCCACAUUGGUACUGAGACACGGACCAA
rnacentral:rRNA from 1 species